UGAUCCUGGCUCAGGAUGAACGCUAGCUACAGGCUUAACACAUGCAAGUCGAGGGGCAGCAUAUCGAAAGCUUGCUUUUGAUGAUGGCGACCGGCGCACGGGUGAGUAACGCGUAUCCAACCUUCCCUAUACUAGAGGAUAGCCCGGCGAAAGUCGGAUUAAUACUCUAUGUUCUUCGUAGAAGACAUCUGAAAUGAAGCAAAGGUUUACCGGUAUAGGAUGGGGAUGCGUCUGAUUAGGUUGUUGGCGGGUAACGGCCCACCAAGCCCACGAUCAGUAGGGGUUCUGAGAGGAAGGUCCCCCACAUUGGAACUGAGACACGGUCCAAACUCCUACGGGAGGCAGCAGUGAGGAAUAUUGGUCAAUGGACGAGAGUCUGAACCAGCCAAGUAGCGUGCAGGAUGACGGCCCUAUGGGUUGUAAACUGCUUUUAUACAGGGAUAAAGUGCACUACGUGUAGUGUUUUGUAGGUACUGUAUGAAUAAGGACCGGCUAAUUCCGUGCC
rnacentral:rRNA from 1 species